UCGAGGUACGGUAAAGGAGCAAUCCGGUACGGGACGGGCCUUGGUCCGAUCAGCUAGUUGGUAGGGUAACGGCCUACCAAGGCUAUGACCGGUAGGGGGGGUGAGAGCCCGAUCCCCGCGAAUGGGACUGAGACACUGCCCAUACUCCUACGGGAGGCUGCAGUCGAGAAUCUUCCGCAAUGUGCGAAAGCAUGACGGAGCGACGCCGCGUGAAGGAAGAAGCCCUCCGGGGUGUAAACUUCUUUUCCUGGGGAGGAAGUACGCUGACGUUACCCAGGGAAUAAGUAGUUGCUAACUCUGUGCCAGCAGCAGCGGUAAGACAGAGACUACGAGCGUUAUCGGAAGUGACUGGGCGUAAAGGAUCCGUAGGCGGUUUGGCGCGUCGGUGGUGAAAGACCUGGGCUCAACCCAGGGAACGUCGCCGAUACGGCCAGACUUGAGGGUGUGAGGGGCUGAUGGAACUCACGGUGGAGGGGUGGAAUCCGUUGAGAUCGUGGGGAACACCGAAGGCGAAGGCAUUCAGCUGGCGCAUUCCUGACGCUGAGGGAUGAAAGCGUGGGUCGCGAAUGGGAUUAGAUACCCCAGUAGUCCACGCCGUAAACGAUGGACGCUAGCGGUGGGGAGUAUCGACCCUCUCCGUCGCGAAGCUAACGCGUGAAGCGUCCCGCCUGGGAAGUACGGCCGCAAGGCUAAAACUCAAAGGAAUAGACGGGGGCUCGCACAAGUGGUGGAGCGUGAGGAUUAAUUCGUCAACAAGCGGAAGACCUCACCUGGGUUUGACAUGCUCCUGCAAGCGCACGGAAACGUGUGACCUUCGAGGGUGGAGCACAGGUGUUGCAUGGUCGUCGUCAGCUCGUGCCGUGAGGUGUUCGGUUCAGUCCGACAACGAGCGCAACCCCUGUCCUGUGUUAUCUGUGUCACGGGAAACUGCCUGCGCCAAGUAGGAGGAAGGCGGGGACGACGUCAGAUCAGCAUGACCCUUAUACCCAGGGCCUCACUCGCGCUACAGUGGUACGUACAGCGGGUUGCCAAGCAGCAAUGCGGAGCUAAUCCCCAAAACGUGCCUCGGUUUGGAUUGAGGGCUGCAACCCGCCCUCAUGAAAACGGAAUCACUAGUAAUCGCGAAUCAGCAUGUCGCGGUGAAUACGUUCUCGAGCCUUGUACUCACCGCCCGUCAAGUCAGUGAAGCUGGGGGUACCCGAAGUCUCGCUCCGAGCGGGCCGAAGGUAAAUUCAGUGACAAGGACUAAGU
rnacentral:rRNA from 1 species